AAACUUGGCAAUGCGAGAAAUCGUGACCAGGGAACUCCAAGUGCAUGGGGUAAGACCNNNNCUUUUCUUGACUCUAAAUAGGUCUUGGAAUAAGGGGUGGGUAAGGACGGUGCCAGCCGCCGCGGUAAUACCGGCGCCUCAAGUGGUAGUCGCUUUUAUUGGGCCUAAAACGUCCGUAGCCGGUUUGAUACAUUCGUGGGUAAAUCAACCAGCUCAACUGGUUGAAUUCUGCGAGGACGGCCAGACUUGGGACCGGGAGAGGUGUGGGGUACGCUCAGGGUAGGGGUAAAAUCCUGUCAUCCUGAGCGGACCACCUGUUGCGAAGGCGCCACACUAGAACGGAUCCGACGGUCAGGGACGAAGCCUAGGGGCACGAACCGGAUUAGAUACCCGGGUAGUCCUAGGUGUAAACGCUGUGGACUUGAUGUUGGGGGUGCUCCGAGCAUUCUCAGUGUCGAAGCGAAGGUGAUAAGUCCACUGCCUGGGAAGUACGGUCGCAAGGCUGAAACUUAA
rnacentral:rRNA from 1 species